rnacentral:ncRNA from 1 species
UCAUCUUAAUAUACCCCUAACCGAGACUAAACGGGGAUAACAGUCUCUCAUAUCCACUAGUGAAGGGAUUAGUGGAAAUAACAGUACCG